AGAUGCUGGACGAUAUACCUGCGUGGCCAUUAAUGAAGCUGGAGAAGAUUCUAUCCAAUAUGAUGUCCGCGUGCUACUGCCACCAUACUUUAAUGGUUCCAGCGGUGAUGUGACUGUGGAGCUGAUUGUACUUCUGGACAAGAUGGCAAUAAUGGAAUGUAUAGCAGAGGGCAGUCCUCCUCCGAGCAUAAUGUGGGAGAAAGAUGGACAGCUAAUAGUUGAAGAUUCCCAUCACAGAUUCCUACUGGAUGGAAAAACCCUUCAGAUUCACAAUACUCAAAUAGCAAAUAUAGGCAGGUAUGUCUGCCUUGUGGAGAACAUAGCAGGACGUGCAAAAAGAUAUUUUAA